UUCGGAGGCAAGUUUGGUGUCCAGAUGGACAGAGUUGAUCAGUCUGCCGUAGGCUUUGAAUACCAGGGGAAGACUGAGAAGCACGCCUCCCAGAAAGGUAAGAUGAAAGGCGCACAAAGAGCCGCGCUCCAGGGGCCCUGAUGGGGAGAGUCACAGCCACCUGAAGCCGUUUCCCGAGCGGUGGCUGUUGCCACAAGGAGGACUCUGCCCUCCUCUUCAUGUUUCUGGAUCAUCUGGAUGCCACAUGAUGGAUGCAUUCCCCAUUACACAGCCCCCUCGGAGCCCUGGCAUCUGCUGUCAUUGUGGGGCUUCUCCCCCUUGUAGCAGAAGCCACCUUCCCUUCAUCUGGGCAGCACUCCUCCUGGAAAAGAGAGCUCGCAGAUUGAUCGGCAGAAAGCCUUCCCCCUCUGAGGCUAGAAACCAGAGUUGUUAAAUUCUUGUUUUCAUUAUACACGUACGGUCUUAACUGCUGGUGAUUAAUCUUGAUUACAUCAUGCAGUCUCUUUUUUGAAAGACCGAAGCAUAUUGC
rnacentral:sRNA from 1 species